GACAGAGGUGCCAAGCGUUAGGCGGAAUCACUGGGCUUAAAGCGUGUGUAGGCGGGUGCCUAAGUACCUUGUGAAAUCCCACGGCUCAACCGUGGAACUGCUGGGUAUACUGGGUGCCUUGGGUCAUCUAGGGGCUGCCGGAACAAAUGGUGGAGCGGUGAAAUGCGUAGAUAUCAUUUGGAACGCCAACGGCGAAAGCAGGCAGCUGGGGAUGCACCGACGCUGAGGAGCGAAAGCGUGGGGAGCGAACAGG
rnacentral:rRNA from 1 species